AGUCGACGAACUUCUUUAUCACCGAGUGCUUGCACUCACCGGUAAAGGGUUGAGUGGCGAACGGGUGAGUAACACGUGGGCAACCUGCCCAAAAGAGGGGGAUAACACUUGGAAACAGGUGCUAAUACCGCAUAACCAUAGUUACCGCAUGGUAGCUAUGUAAAAGGUGGCUAUGCUACCGCUUUUGGAUGGGCCCGCGGCGCAUUAGCUAGUUGGUGGGGUAAAGGCUUACCAAGGCAAUGAUGCGUAGCCGAACUGAGGGGUUGAUCGGCCACAUUGGGACUGAGACACGGCCCAAACUCCUACGGGAGGCAGCAGUAGGGAAUCUUCCACAAUGGGCGAAAGCCUGAUGGAGCAACGCCGCGUGGGUGAAGAAGGUCUUCGGAUCGUAAAACCCUGUUGUUAGAGAAGAAAGUGCGUGAGAGUAACUGUUCACGUUUCGACGGUAUCUAACCAGAAAGCCACGGCUAACUACGUGCCAGCAGCCGCGGUAAUACGUAGGUGGCAAGCGUUAUCCGGAUUUAUUGGGCGUAAAGGGAACGCAGGCGGUCUUUUAAGUCUGAUGUGAAAGCCUUCGGCUUAACCGGAGUAGUGCAUUGGAAACUGGGAGACUUGAGUGCAGAAGAGGAGAGUGGAACUCCAUGUGUAGCGGUGAAAUGCGUAGAUAUAUGGAAGAACACCAGUGGCGAAAGCGGCUCUCUGGUCUGUAACUGACGCUGAGGUUCGAAAGCGUGGGU
rnacentral:rRNA from 1 species